rnacentral:rRNA from 1 species
AUUGAACGCUAGCGGCAGGCUUAACACAUGCAAGUCGAACGAGUGGCGGACGGGUGAGUAAUGUCUGGGAAAGUGCCCGAUGGCGGGGGAUAACUACUCGAAACGGUAGCUAAUACCGCAUACUAUCGGAUGUGCCCAUAGCGGAUUAGCUAGUUGGUGGGGUAAAGGCUCACCAAGGCAACGAUCCCUAGCUGGUUUGAGAGGAUGACCAGCCACACUGGAACUGAGACACGGCCCAGACGCCUACGGGAGGCAGCAGUGGGGAAUUUUGCACAAUGGGGGAAAGCCUGAUGCAGCCAUGCCGCGUGUAUGAAGAAGGCCUUCGGGUUGUAAAGUACUUUCGGCAGGGAAGCGGUACCUGCAGAAUAAGCACCGGCUAACUCCGUGCCAGCAGCCGCGGUAAUUC